CGCGCGGCUCAGCGGGGGCGGCUUCGCGGCGGGGAAGGGGUACAGCCCGAGACCCCCAGCGACACGACAGCACCGGCGGCCUCGGCGCCGGGUCGGCGGCCAAAGUCGCCGGCAAUACAGAAAAAUGUCUGGUGGUGCCAGAAAACUCUUCACUGCUACAGACCCUUCCCAGCCUGAUCCGUCUCUUCUCCACAGACAGUGCAAGUAAACCUCAUAUCCAGUUCUGCCAUUUCCUCAUUUCAUGGUGA
rnacentral:lncRNA from 1 species